rnacentral:rRNA from 1 species
UCGGGAAUUUUGGGCAAUGGGCGAAAGCCUGACCCAGCAACGCCGCGUGAAGGAUGAAGUAUUUCGGUAUGUAAACUUCGAAAGAAUAGGAAGAAUAAAUGACGGUACUAUUUAUAAGGUCCGGCUAACUACGUGCCAGCAGCCGCGGUAAUGCGUAGGGACCAAGCGUUGUUCGGAUUUACUGGGCGUAAAGGGAGCGUAGGCGGAUGUGCAAGUGAUAUGUGAAAUACCCGGGCUUAACCUGGGGAGGUCAUAUCAGACUGCACGUCUAGAAUGUGGUAGAGGAAGGUGGAAUUCCUGGUGUAGCGGUGAAAUGCGUAGAUAUCAGGAAGAACAUCAAUGGCGAAGGCAGCCUUCUGGGCCAUUAUUGACGCUGAGGCUCGAAAGCGUGGGGAGCAAACAGGAUUAGAUACCCGUGUAGUCCCUGAGCGGGCUGGCAAGGCGCAU